AGCGAACGUUUGCGGCGGGCCUAACACAUGCAAGUCGAACGCACUAGCAAUAGUGAGUGGCGCACGGGUGCGUAACACGUGGGUAAUCAACCCUUCAGCCUGGGAUAACGACUCGAAAGGGUCGCUAAUACCGGAUACGGCGCGAGAGGCUUCGGCUUCUCACGAGAAAGCCACGCAAGGGGCACUGAAGGACGAGCCUGCGGCCCAUCAGCUAGUUGGUGAGGUAAGAGCUCACCAAGGCUAAGACGGGUAGCUGGUCUGAGAGGAUGAUCAGCCACACUGGAACUGAGACACGGUCCAGACUCCUACGGGAGGCAGCAGUGGGGAAUAUUGCGCAAUGGGCGAAAGCCUGACGCAGCCACGCCGCGUGAGCGAUGAAGGCCUCGGGUCGUAAGACUCUGUGGGAGGAGACGAAGAAAGACCUGUGAAGAGCAGGCCUUGACGGUAGUCUCCUUAG
rnacentral:rRNA from 1 species